rnacentral:rRNA from 1 species
AUGGCCGGCGUUCGCCGCGCCGCUGCGCUCCUCCUGCUGCUCGGCCUCGCGUGCACCCCCGCCCUGGCCGCGCGUGACGCCGCCCAGGCGAAGCCCAAGCACCCCUCGGGCCCGGCGGCCGGCAAGAAGCCGGCCAAGCCGUACGUGCCGCCGGCCACCAAGCCCCCGGGGUCGGGCGGCGUCGGCGGCGGAGGCGGGAUGCCGAACAUCCCGGGCAUCGGCACCAUCCCGGGGUUCACCGUGCCCGGGAUGGGGGGCGGGUGGGGCGGGGGCUACGGCGGGCCCGACGGCGGGUACUCGCGCGGCGGCGUGGUGGCCUCCACCACCGUCUGCUCCGAGAAGGGCCCCUGCUACAAGAAGAAGCUGACGUGCCCCAAGAAGUGCUUCUCCUCAUACAGCGGCUCCGGCAAGGGGUACGGCGGCGGCGGCGGCGGGGGCGGCUGCACCGUCGACUGCAAGACCAAGUGCAUCGCCUACUGCUGA